AUAGGGUUGACAGAAUUAUGUACUUGAUUUAGGAUCAAAUUAUGGACCUAUGGUCCACCUUAUA
rnacentral:tRNA from 1 species